GCUCAAUCACUUUAGGAAUCUCCCUCGUAACAUUGCCACUUUGCUUCUUUUCUUUUUGCUUUUGCUUAAUCCUCGUAAGAAUCAAAUGUGCGCUUCUGAAUCUAUCUUAAAAUAUGUCUUUCCGGAAAACAUGAAGGGAACCAUGUUACCCACCAAUCCAUCGUCCUCUUCACCCAACCACCCAAAGUCCGUACCCCAUGCACCUGCCUUCUUAUGUAAUAGACUUCACAUCCAUCUAUGCGAGCAUCCAAAAUAUACUCUGUUGUGAACAUAUUUUGACAGUAAUUUAACAAGAAAAUAUCAAUAAUAUUGGUAAAUAGACUAUCUACACUGCUACUGCUAUUAUUAUUAUUAUCUGAUAACACAAU
rnacentral:lncRNA from 1 species